rnacentral:rRNA from 1 species
ACUCCUACGGAAGGCAGCAGUGGGGAAUAUUGCACAAUGGAGGAAACUCUGAUGCAGCGACGCCGCGUGAGUGAAGAAGUAUUUCGGUAUGUAAAGCUCUAUCAGCAGGGAAGAAAAUGACGGUACCUGACUAAGAAGCACCGGCUAACUCCGUGCCAGCAGCCGCGGUAAU